UACGUAGGGGGCAAGCGUUGUCCGGAAUUAUUGGGCGUAAAGAGCGCGUAGGCGGUCCGGUAAGUCGGCUGUGAAAGUCAAGGGCUCAACCCUUGAAAGCCGGCCGAUACUGUCGGACUAGAGUCCGGAAGAGGCGAGUGGAAUUCCCGGUGUAGCGGUGAAAUGCGCAGAUAUCGGGGAGGAACACCAAUGCGAAGGCAGCUCGC
rnacentral:rRNA from 1 species